CCCCUUAAGCCAAGUACUGCUCAUCUAAGAUGCCUUAAUCCUUCACGCGCUUUCAUGUCAUGACAUAACCACUAUGCUACUGACCCAUAAGACGUCAAGCUAGCAUUUAGGAAUGCAUAAUCAAAUCUAUAUAGCACGACCAUGCAACAUCACCAUUAUGUAUGAGGCUCAAGCAAAUUUAUCUCUAAUGCCAUCCAACUAAAUUGCCAAACUGACAUGUCCUGCAACUCCUCGAAGCUACAAUCGAUCAUACACAUCGAGUCUUCCCAAAUUCUGCUAUCUAAGAUCCUGCAUAAACUCUUGUGCCACGAUCCCCAUCUUGCAUCCUUGACAUGCUCGAUAUACCUUUCCAUCAAUGGCCAUACCGCUCAACAACAAUAUUCACAGCGAGCAAUGAUUAUAUUGUCCAACAUCUUAUGCCUACAGUCUACUCGUAUAUUGUGCACUACUAUGAUAUUAGCAUCCCAGUCUGCCCAUCAAGUAAAUCUAUUUGACCGACUGAUCCUGGCAUCAAUCUGUCCUCUCCUCGACAUGACCAUCUUGGUCGUUCUUGAUCCUU
rnacentral:lncRNA from 1 species